GCCGGAACGCAAGUGCAGCAUGUUUAAAGAAAGGUGGAUGAGUUUAUAAAGAGUUGGGACAAAAGUUACAACAUCGUCUUUAACGCCUCCCAGAUGCCACUGAUUCGGUAGAAAAUAGGUUCUUUACUCGCGAAAGAACUGAAUCAUGUGCAGGGUCAUAUGGAUGAUCCUUGGAAGGAAUCUCCAAUAUUGCAGGAAUUGGCUUGUUAUAGCUAUCUACCAGAAACCUGAUCAUGUUUGCAACAUAUUGACUGAUCAUCACUAUUGCAAUAUCCUCCCUUGUAGUGAACUCUUUGAAAGCAUCUUCAAUUUGUUUAACAGUUGUCUUUGAGUCCACUAUAAGGUAAUUAGUUUUUCUUCGCAGGUCAACAUUACCA
rnacentral:misc_RNA from 1 species